rnacentral:lncRNA from 1 species
AGAUACUGCUGGUGAUUUAUUUUGAUUUUCAUUCUUUAGAUGAAAAAAACGUCAAGACUGGGUGUAAGAUUAAUUAAAAAAACCAACCCCCUUCCCUCGCCCCCAAAGAAACCAGGAAGAAAAAAUACACCAGUGUUGCACUGAAUAUGGAAUUCCUGGAAUCUUUUCCAAACUGCUAUCAUUAAAAUGUAUCAACAGUAUGCAAAGUUUUCCCUUGCUCUCUAUUAAGUCUAGAGUAUCUUCACUGAAAGAAAUAGUUUGCUUGAAUUCAUGCGAGAAUAUGAAUGGAAAAUGUGUUGAUCCUUUCUCAGAGAAACAAAGUACCAUUCAAUGAAAUGGAAAAAUCAUCAGAAAUGGAAGAACUAUAAAAUUACAAAAUGUUAUUUUCAUAUGAAUCACAGUGUUCCCAGGGCAUGCAUUGUGAAGUGUGUUACAGAGUCAGGAAUUUAGCAAGAGGCAGAAAACCAAGACAAAAAUAAGCAAAGUAGUAAUAAUAACACAGUUCUCAAAAGGUCCCUGAAGAAGCAUACCUGCUUUAACCCUUUAAAAGGGUUAAAGUGUUAAAGUUUCUUUGAGAGUAAAAGAAGAUUUUCUCUGGGAACAACUCAUUUCUUUUGUAACUGUGCACAUGAAAGUUUCUUUCAGCAGCCGUUUUUGCUGAACACACACAGGGUCAUGCAGAGCAGGUGGGCAUGCAGGAUUCACGCAGUAAUUCCUGUUAUCUUCUACACUGAUGAUAAUGCCUGGCCAGUUGGUUUUGGUUUUUUCCAUGAACUGAGCCAGUUCAACAUCUGUGUAUUUAAUAUGCCUGAGAUGCUAUAAUUAGAACAUUUUUAAUUAUUCAUCACUCUUAACUCUUCUCUUGAGUGUGGUAAUUUGAUAGAACAGUUCUAAAUACUGGAACAUCACCUUGAUCCGAGGAGCUUUCUGACGAUGCUUAAGCUGCUGUUUCUCAUGUACAAUCUUAGCCAAUGUUACAAUUUCAUGUAGGUAUAAAGGCUACUGUAUGUCUUUGAAUAUUUGUCUUGUUAUGAAAACCUAAUACUAUCCCUAGCCUGGAAAAAUCAUGCAAAUUCAUCUAGCUAAAUACAUACAUUUGAGCAAAAUGGAAAAAGUUAUUUUAUGUUUAAAAACUGAAGUGAAUUUUAGGCCUAUCAGUCAUGCUGAAAUGUGACUACUUAAAGUCCUUUGUUUGCAGAACAGCCAUUGUGCAGACAAAGCAAGCAGUGGCACGUUCCCCUCCAUUAUUUUGGAAGUGCUCUCUUCAAGAGGGUCAGCAAAUAAUUUACUUUUCUGCUUAUUCAGGACAUUAUCAAACCACUGGAGUCAGUAUUAAGAUCACAGACCAAUUUAUUUGAUCACCUUCCAUCUCCUUUGUAAAAGCUGAAAUAAAAACAUAUUUAACUCUUUCAGCUGCACUGACUUUCCCUAAGUAAUAUACUUGAUGCCUGUCUGUUUGGAGACAACUACUGCUUCUUGGUACAUACCUUACACUUCUCCUAGGACUCCUGGGUCCACAUGUAGUUUUCUCUGUAAUGUUAGUGAGGCCACUGGACUAUUUACUUUCUACUCAGGUACCUACACACAAGUCCAAGCUCAUCUCCUUCACAUGUUUCGAGACUAUUUCAGGCACUGCAGCAUGGCUGAUGACAGCUGGAAACAGAAAGUAUGCUGUGAGAGAUCUUGAAAUGCUGCCAAACAGGGUUUAUGUAGGAGACACGCUCUUCUUGCUGUAGAUCUGGCAUUCCCCCAUGACCAAGUUUCAAGCUAGUGCCUGUACAAAGGUCUAGGAUUAAACCUUGAACCUCAUGCUGCCAUUGUGCACAAAUUCCUGUGUACAAGGAGACUAGCAAUAUGGUGACCACAAAAACGCACAAAUACAAUGCAAAUAUUAUAGAUAGCUAUAGUCUCUCCUCACACUUUCCACCCCUGAGAUAGACUAAAAGCUCCCUUAUGGAGUGUUUCCCUGUUUUGCUGAAUGAUUGUUGCUUUUCUCCCCCAGUUAAACUCAGCCUUUCUCCUUAGGACUUAGGUAUGGGAGAGCAUGACCUAGAGGGUGCUCACCCCUUCUAAAAAUUUACAGAGUUGAGAGGUGAUGUUGCUGUGCUUAUUGAGCUUCUUAAUUUCAAACACUAGCCCCUGGGGACCAGUUUUGUGAGGGAGCAAGUCUUCUGCCUUACACAGCACCUGUGGGUGCUGUGGUGCAAGUGCUACAAGUAGGAGCACUGGUCUCUUGUGGUGUGGAUGGAGAUGGAUGUAGAGGAGGGGCUGCAGUCCACCUGUAGGGCUUCUGCUCUCUCAUACUCCCAGCAGGAGGAAGAUGUUAUUAGCCCCCACUCACCAUCCCUGCUUGGUGUACGC